AACCUCAUUGAUUGGAAGGAAUUCCUUCCAAUCAAUGAGGUUGUUAUAAACCUCAUUGAUUGGAAGUCAAUGAGGGUAACAACCUCAUCAAUUGGAAGGCAUUCCUUCCAAUUGAUGAGGUA
rnacentral:miRNA from 1 species